rnacentral:rRNA from 1 species
UAGGGAAUCUUCCACAAUGGGCGAAAGCCUGAUGGAGCAACGCCGCGUGUGUGAUGAAGGGUUUCGGCUCGUAAAACACUGUUGUUAAAGAAGAACACGUAUGAGAGUAACUGUUCAUACGUUGACGGUAUUUAACCAGAAAGCCACGGCUAACUACGUGCCAC